AUUUCUCAUUUUAAACUUCUAAUUUGUGACUAGUGUUUUGUUUUGCUCUCUCCUCUGCGCCUCCGUGUGCGUCAUUGCGUCAUCGCGUCAGGUCAAAGGUUGCUCUUCUACCCAAAUUGCCGUGCGCAGUAUGCGUACGGUCGUCCGCCGUAAGCUCGUUAUUUUAAUUAAUAAUUUUAAUUUAAAUAUAGACAUUUUUCUUACAAAAACGCAUCCCUUGAGGGUUAAGUUUAAAGGGGGGUUAUCAGUUUCUGCCAAUCUCAUGUUAAUCUUGAGUACAUAUAGAGUAAUAUUGCAUCCUUCAUAUCUCCGAAAAGUCUUUAGUUUUAUUAUAUUUAUAAAAGAUGGAUACGCUGUACUGAGUCUUUUCCGAAAAAAGCCAAGCUCCUGGAGGCUUGCCUGCCGUCAGUGCCGUGGGCAGAGCUAAAGAGUCACGAGCGCGCGCAGCUUUUGCGUAGAGAUCGUCUUCAAGCUGCGACAUCAUUAUAAAUAAAAGGGAAACAAAAACGUUUGUGUUGUUUACAUUUUAUGCAUUUGUGCACCGAUUGCCAACAAAACACAGACAUCUGAUGCAGCUUUACUCACCACCCGCGAUCUGCAAAUCUAGCACCGAACUGGGACUUGUUUACAAAGCGUUCAUCACUGAAAUCCUGGGAAUAAACAAACAUAUGUGCACAACUCCGUUGCUGCCCCGGAAAAACAAACUUCAUCCACUGUUCCCUUAAUGCUGGGUUCUUUGGGAAGCUGAAAAAGGUAAUCUUUCCCUCACAACCAAAAACACACUGCUUUGGUGACAGGAGCGGUGUCUCAUUUCGGAGGCUGCGUCCUCUGGAGGUUGCUUUUGAAGGCUGCGUACGUCUUCAAGGAUGUCAUAUUUAAGAAAAGUAACAGUAAUAAAAUUGACUGAUAUUCAUUGUGAGGUUUAAAAUACUGUAAUUUCUUUCUUACUUUGCAAUCUAACGGUUAUUUUUUUUAAAUGAGACUGCCUCGAUGAUGUAUGCAGCCUUCAAAGGGUGCAGCCCCUGAAUUGGGACACAGACAUUGUUGAAAAAUCUCUCGGCUUCCCUAUCCUGAACGAAACACGUUGAUGACGCCCAUCAGCGCGUUUCGUUCGGGAUACGAAGCCGAGAGAUGCUCUUGCUCUUGCUCGGGGUGAUGAGUGUGUGUACACGCUUAUCAGGGAGAAGUGCCUAUACAAGGAAUUCCACCCUUUAUGACGUGAUACAGGCCAUUCCAAACAUCCACAACCGGAAGUAGUAUAUUUGGCACAGAAAUACUCCAUCAUACAUCCAACUCGUGUUUUAAACUUUGGCCAUGUUUAGCAUGAGAAUGCCAACUUUUUGACAGUGUAAAUAAGUCAGAAUGCAUGAACCCCCCCUUUAAUUUUAUUAUUAUUAUUAUUAUUAUUAUUAUUAUUAUUAUUAUUUAAAUUUUAUUAUUGGCCCAACUUAUUAACUUAAAAUCUAAGGAGGUUCAGCUGACAAAAAAGUUGGGGAAUCCUUGCAUUGCAUGUUAAUAUGAAAUUACGUGAAUUUGUACAUUUUAAUGACAUUAAUACAUGGUUAAAUUACUCACUGAGUGAUAAUUGAAAUUAUAAUUGUGUUCGUCAGGAGCUGAUUAAAUAUGCAGUGUUGCAAUGUGGAGAAAACGCUUGUUAAAAGUGAAAUGAUUUCUGUAAAUCCAGUGAUCAAAUGCUGUGUUUGUCUCAGUUUUCAGUGAUAGUCACAUGACUAGUGGCUGGUCUGUGUGUGUAAAAAAGGAAGUAGAGGGGAGAAUCAAUCAGUUAUGAAUAAUUUACUGCCAUUGUGGGAAUAAUAUGUAAUCAUGUAAUCAAUAAAAAAAGUAACUAGUCUGAUGUGUGUGUGUGUGUGUGUGUGUGUGUGUGUGUGUGUGUGUGUGUGGGCUCGUUUGAAUCAAGACGACCUGCUCUAAAUAAAGAUGUGUGAUUAUAAUUAUGGUUUACUAAUUUUUCACAAAAUUAAAAUUUUUCACAGAACAUGGCACAAAAGCCUCAUCUGUAUACUGUUUACAUGCGCGUCGGUGGUAACUUUUUACAGUUUUACUUCAUCAAAUUGCGAUCGGUUUGUGAGAUCGGCCAAAUUUAUUGACUACCGAUUCAGUCAUUGAAUGUGAUUAUCGGCCGAUAACGAUCUGUGGCUAAACGUUCGGAGCAUCCCUAGUUUUAUUAAACAAAUUUAUAUUAAUUUGUGUGUGUGUGUGUGUUUUCCCCCUCAUGAUCCAGAAGGUUUGGGAAUGAAAAUCUUCUGCCACAUGAUCUUCAGAGGAAAUGCAUUAAUGAUCCGGCUGAUUACAGGCCAUUUGGAGGAGGAUUGCUCUUUAUCUGCUGUGUCUGUCACUUCUGGUGCAGAAUCUUUGUUGAUAAUGUAAAUUUACAUCUGAAUAAUAAAACAGUUUUAGAAUCAAUAGUGGAAACAGUGAAAAUCUUGUAGAUGUAUCAGUUUUGUAUUUAAGUUGAGAAUAUUUCAUUUAACUUUUUAUUAAAAUUUGAUUACUGUUAAUCAGUACAGCAUUUAAAAUGUUAAAUGUAUUUCACUUAAAAUGUGUACUGUAUCUCUUCAAAUCUGAAUUAUUAAAUUUUCAGUUUUAUACA